GCCCCAGUAGCUCAAUUGGACAGAGCAGUCCCGUCCUAAGGGAAAGGUUGGGGGUUCGAGUCCCUCCUGGGGUACCG
rnacentral:tRNA from 1 species